rnacentral:lncRNA from 1 species
GGUUUAUGUAUUUAUUUCUGCAACCAGGAGAUCCCCAAACAAAGGUGGUGGAUAUGGUAUACACCAUUUAGUAGAGGUAAAGGAGUUGGAGGAGGAGAAGCAGCAAUUCCUGUCAGUAGAGGUGGCACUGGUAGAGCUGGUGAUGGGGAUGGCCCUCCACCUGCCUAUGGAUGCAGUGCAGCUGGUCCUGGAAUUUCUAAGUAACCUGAGUCCAUGCUCCUGUAAUACAAAUAAUCCAGUGUUUAAAUCCUUGCAGUAGAAUAUGCAGUCCAGAAUACAUAGCAAUAAACACUUGGGGUUUAUUAAUUUAUCAGCAUUCAAGGACUUAACAGUACAUGCAAAGGACUUAUAUAGAUAUUUGAUGACUUAUUUUUGUCUUUUUGCCUUUUCUUGAGCCACUCCCAUGGCAUAUGGAGGUUCCCAGGCUAGGGGUCCAAUCGGAGCUGUAGCGGCCAGCCUACGCCAGAGCCACAGCAACAUGGGAUCCAAGCCGCAUCUGUGACCCACAUCACAGCUCACGGCAACGCCGGAUCCUUAACCCACUGAGUAAGGCCAGGGACCGAACCCGCAACCUCAUGGUUCCUAGUCGGAUUCGUUAACGACUGCGCCACAACGGGAACUCCAUUUCAUGACUAUUUUAAACACUACACAAUGACUGCUGCAGAAGAGUUGGCAUUCUCAUCUGAUCUCUAAUGGGGACAGAGUGUCUUACAGCAGCAGUAACCAAGCUCUUUUCUAAUACCACUAGUCAGUAUUAGUAUUAGAAAAUGCCAGUAAUAAUAAUGCAUAGGAAUAAUGCUUCCAAAAUGCUUCCUCAUUUUUAGUCCUGAUUAUAACCCUGUAACAUAGGUAGGGUAAGUAGUUUCAUCUCACUGCUUAUGGAAAAGGGAACAAACUUCUAAAACAUUUAGGUGACUGACUGAUCAUGAUUUGAAGCAUGAUUAGGAUUUGAAUGUAGUUCUUCUCAGACCCAAUUCUGUCCCCUUUCUGAUGUAGUAGAUAUUAGGCUGUGAAAAAGGGGAGAAGCCUGAGUUAGUGCUCAGAGAUGUGAAAAGGAACGUAGUUAGGAUUUUUUUUUUUUUUAAUGAAAACUCUCUUGAAAAGAAAUCAUCCAGUAUGUAUCUACUCCACUUACAGUGGAGUAGAAUGAGGUUAGGAAAAGGCCAUCAGAUUCAGUCAUUUGGAGUUCAGUGGUGACUGUUCACAUAGCUUUUUAUUUUAGCAGAAUUGUGGAUACAGACCAAUUUAAGAAACAAGCCCCUAAUGACUCCACUUUGUUAAGAUACAGUCUUCACAUUCCCUUCAAACGUAGCCUGUCUUGAGGACAAACAUAGCCUGUCUUGAGGAGAGUACUUAAUCAGUUGUCAAGCACUGGCCACCUACUUAAAAUUGACCAAAGCUCCCAUGGAUACUUGAGAAUGUAGGUGGAAAUAUACAGUUUAUGGAUUUUGAAAUGAUGGUAGUCAAAUUGUGGCGGUAUACAAAACAAAUUAAUAGAGUAAUUCUAAAGUCUAGAACCUCUAAUUUUAAGUGUAUUUUAAGUGUAUGAUGGGGUCUUUUGUCAUAAAUAAUGUAGGUGGCUGUGUAAAGUUUUCUAUUUUGAAAUGAUGGCAUUUGAGAUUUAAAAGAGGUGUAAAAAGCUUUUGGAAUUAUUAAAAUUACUGAGGAUUUUCUUUUUGAGAGGAAAUACUGUGGACCCCAUUUUUCAAAUUAUCUUGAAUUUCCCAUCAACUCUUUUUGGUUCUAUAACAUAUUCAUGUAUAUGUCACAGUAUCCACGGUAGUUUUAAAAAUUAAUGUUUUUUUCCCCCACAUGAAAAUAAUGUUUUGGAAAACCCUGUCUGUUGUUAUAUAAACUUAAAACAUGUAAUUGCCAGUAAGUCAGCUUUUGGUCACAUUUCCCUUCCAUCUGACAAGAUAAUAUUAUGUAGUUUCAUUACCUGGGUUUCAUGCUGGAAUUCUUUUCCAAGGUCUUUGAGUAUUUAUUCCUUUUUUUUUUUUUUUUUUUUUUUUUUUUUUUUUUUUUUUUUUUUUUUGGGUUGCNNNNNNNNNNNNNNNNNNNNNNCUUUGGGCUGCUCCCGCGGCAUAUGGAGGUUCCCAGGCUAGGGGUCGAAUCGGAGCUGUAGCCACAGGCCUACGCCAGAGCCACAGCAACGCGGGAUUCGAGCCGUGUCUGCAACCUACACCACAGCUUACCGCAACGCCGGAUUGUUAACCCACUAAGCAAGGGCAGGGACCGAACCCGCAACCUCAUGGUUCCUAGUCGGAUUCAUUAACCACUGUGCCACGACAGGAACUUUACUCCUAUUUUUGAAGCCUGUUUUGAGUUUAUGGUUGGGCUCUGAACUCUUCAUUUUUCUCCAGUGAUCACUGUAAAUGUACACAUAGUUUCAGGAAAGCUUUAAAUAAUGUUAUGUGUUAAACAAGUGGGUCUUUUUUGUCUGCUGAGGUUUCGGAUACUCAUAUUCAAAGAAUUAUUGAUUAUUUUUAUGACAAUUCAGUACUCUUGAGGAGGGUGGGGGCAGGGCUGGUGGUGACAGGUCAAGGGCAUAUUUCACUUUGCUACCUCUAAAGUUAAAAAAGAAAAAAAAAGCCAUCAACAUCAAAUGCUGGGGAAAAUAUGGAGAAACAGGAAUUCAAAAUGUUCUAGCCACUUGAGAAGAUAGUUUGGCACUUUCGUAGAAAGGUACACAUACACCUACCAUAAAAUCCAAUAAUCACUCAGAAACAUGUACACAAAUAUUUAUAGCAGCUUUAUUCCCUUUUUUUUUGGUCUUUUUGCCUUUUUCUAGGGCCACUCCCACGGCAUAUGGAGGUUCCCAGGCUAGGGAAAAAUCUCAAACAACCUAUCCCACUACCUGAAAGAUUUAUAAAAACAACAAAACCUAAAGUCACCAGAAGGUAGGAAAUCGUGAAGAUCAGAGAGGAAAUCAGUAAUAGAUUUUUAAAAGUAGAAAAAAAAUCAGUACAACCAAAAAGCUGGUUCUUUGAAAGUAUUAAAAAAAAAAAAAAAAAAAAAAAACUGAGAGACUCUGGCCAGGCUCACCAAGAAGAGGCUCCAAAUAAAAGAAGAAAUGACAAGAAGAUGUAAUAACCAACACCAUAGAAAUACAAAAAAACCUGUAAGAGAAUACUAUGAACCAUUACAUGCCAACAAAUUUGACAACAUAGAAGAAAUGGACGACUUUCUAGAAACAUACAGCCCACUAAAGCUAAAUCAAAAAGUAAUAACUUGAACAGAACUACAUACAAUAGAAGAGGACCAGAUGGUUUCACUGGAGAAUUCUAAAAAACAUACGAACAACUUAUACUGAUCCUUCUCAAACUCUUCUAAAAGACUGAUGAGGAAGAAACAUUGCCAAAAACAUUCUAUGAAUCAACCAUCAUCACCCUGACAAAUCAAACACACCACCAAAAACGAAAGGUAUAGGGCAAUAUUGUUAAUGAAUAUAGCCACAAAAAUUCUCUAAAAUAAAUAUUACCAACCGAAGAGAAAACACAGUUUUACUUCAUUAAAACCCUCACAAAAGUGGAUAUAGGGGAACAAGCAAACCCAGAUCCAAUAUAAUACUCAAUGGUAAAAAAGUGAAAAUCCUCCCUACUAAAAUCUAACAAGACAAAGGAUGCCCACUCUUACCAUUUCUCUUCAACAUAGUAUUGGAAGUCCUUCCCAUAGCAAUCAGACAAGAAAGAGAAAUAAAAGUUGUUCAAAUUGGUAGAGAAGAGGUAAAAUUGUCAUUAUAAGCAGAUUACACGAUACUAUAUAUAGAAAACGAUAGAGGUACCACACAAAAACUACUAGAUUAACACAGUCAUCUGUUGCAUUUCAGAAAACAACCCCAUUUAAAAUUGCAUCAAAAAUGAAUAUACUUUGGUGAGGUAAAAAACAUCUGUGUGCGUGGUGUAGGUUUUAGAUGCAGCUUGGGUCCUGUGUGGCUGUGGCAUGGGCCGGCAGCUGUAGCUCUGAUUCAAUCCCUAAACUGGGAACCUCCAUAUCCUGUGGGUAUGGCCCUAAAAAAAACCUUAUCAAUAUUUCUUAGGUUAGUCUCCAAAGUCAAUAGAUACAAAAAUAAACAAAUGAGGCCCAAUCAAACUUACAAACUUUUGCACAGCAAAACAAAGGCAACCUACAGAUUUGGAGGAAAUAUUUGGAAAUGAUGUGUCCAAUAUGGGCUUAAUUUGAACAAUAUCCUAAAAGCUCAUACAACUUAACAAAAAGCCAAACCAAUCAAAACAUGGGCAGAAGUCCUAAAUAGACAUUUCUCCAAAGAAGACAUACAGAUGGCCAAUAGGUACAUGAAAAGUAUAGAUAAAUGCAAAUCAAAACUACAAUGAGGUACUACCUUGUACCAGUCAUUGGUCAUCAUUAAAAAAUCUUUAAUAAAAGGAACCCUCUUACACUGUUGGUCAGAAACAGUAUGGAGAUUUCUCAAAAAAUAAAUAGUGUUGCCAUGUGAUUCAGCGAUCCCUGUCCUGGGCAUAUACCCAAAUAAUCUGUAAUUUAAAGAUACACGCACCCCAAUGUGUGCACAGAACAAUUUAUAACAGCCAAGCCAUGGGAAACAACCUAAAUGUUCAUCAAGAGAUAAAUGAACCUGUGGUACAGGAGUUCCCAUUGUGGCUCAGUGAUAAUGAACAUGACUAGGAUCCAUGAGGAUGAGGGGUUCAAUCCUUGGCCUCUGUCAGUGGGGUCAAGGGUCCUGUGUUGUCAUGAGCUAUGGUUGUAGGCUGCAGACGUAGCUCGGAUGUUAUAUUGCUGUGCCUGUGGCAUAGGCUGGCAGUUGUAGCUCCGAGUCAACCCCUAGCCUGGGAACUUCCAUAUGCCACAGGUGUGGCUCUGGAUAAAGCAAAUGUUGUACAUAUAAAUGGAGUAUUACUCAGCAAUCAAAAAAUAAUUUCAUUUGCAGGACCUAUAGAUUAUUAUACUUAGCAAAAUAAGUCAGAAAAAGAUAAAUACCACAUGAUAUCAGUUACAUGUGUAAUCUAAAAUACAACACAAACCAACAUAUCUGUAAAAUCUAAAACAGACUCACAGAUAUAGAGAACAGACUUGUGGUUGCCAAGGGGGGAAUAGGUAAAGGAAGGAUUGGGAGUUGCGAAUUAGCAAACUAUUACAUGUAAGAUGGAUAAACAAGGUCCUUCGGUACAUAGCCCAGGAAACUACAUUCAGUAUCCUGGACAAAUCAUAAUGGAAAAGAAAUAUCUGAAUCACUUUGCUGUGGAGAAAAAAUUAACAAAAUAUUAUAAAAUCAACUAUAUGUCAAUAAAAUUACAGAAAAAUUCUUUUAAAAUAGUUUUAAUGAUCCUUAUUUUUGCAUGCCAAAUGCUGUUAUUUCAGCUUCUGACUAGUGCACACAAGAAUGUAUUACAAUUAAGCAAAAAUUAUUAGAAAUUAUCAGACUAAAUCUCACCCAUUUAGGCAACUGCCAGCAUCCAAUAAUUCUAAAAUGCAGAUUUGUCACUUAUUUUAUUGUAGUAAAGUACACUGAUGGUGUUCAGGACAUUUACCAUUUGGCACACUGACAUUUAGUAUUUUAAGCUGAAGGGAGUUUGAGAAAAGGCAGAAACAGACUGGUGUCUUUGACCUUCUCCCUCACUUGUCUUUCUCCCCUGAAACAGGUAAUAAAACCCUCAUGUGACAGGCACUCUCCCUAUACUGGGAGGAAAGGAGCAACUUUAUCUCUGAAUUAGAAAGGAUGUCAAUAAUCUGAAAAAAAAUAGAUUUUGUUAAGAUGAUCCCCAUUUACUACAAUUACCUAAUACUUCUUAACCUAUCAUAGUCUUCCGUGAUUGUCCACUCUUUAUCAAACCUAGCAUAAAAUACCCAAGUCUGUUUCAUCAGGUCUUCAUUUCCAUGUAAAGGAUCCCAUGUCACAUAAAACAUCAAAUAAAUUUGUAUGUCGUCCUUCUGUUAAUCUGUGGUUGUCAGACAGUUUCACUUUUGGACCUAGACAGGAAGGAUUAGAAGAUUAAGGAAAACUUUCCUACAAUACAUGAAACUGUUUUGUAAUUACCAUUUAUGUCACUGCCACUAAAGAGAAACUGGCCUAUUCCACACAUAAUUCAGAAGCUACCACACAUACUCUUCCUAACUGAAUUCAACUAACUUAGUGAAUUCAACAGUAGGCUUGUUGAGGACCAUAGCCAAGUGUCCACGAAUAUAUUUUAAACCCAUUCUUACCAUUUUAAAAUGACUCCAAUAUUUUUCAACUUUUAUGAUUAGAGAAUUCUAUGCAAUUUCUUUCAUGAUUUAGUAUGGGUAGAAAUGUGCCAGAGACUCCAUAAUUACAAUGAUUAGUCAUUAAACAAAAUCACUGAUGAGGAUUAUAUAGUAACACUUGAAAAUAUGAGAUUGCUAUGAAAGGUUGUACUUAAGUAACAUUCUAUCUGGGGUGGAACAUAUCGAAAACAUAAGAAAUUUCUCAGGCACAUUCAAAUGUACCAGAAACAAGUUUCUCCCCCAACAUAUAUAAUAACUGUCUUUAUUAUUAAGAAUUGUCCUGCAGUUCCCAUCGUAGUACAGCAGAAAGGAAUCCGACUAGGAACCAGGAGGUUGUGGGUUCAAUCCCUAGCCUCACUUAGUGGGUUAAGGAUCCAGCAUUGCUGUGAACUGUGGUGUACAUCACAGACGCAGCUUGGAUCCCAAGUUGCUGUGGGUG